rnacentral:rRNA from 1 species
CCCUUAGAUGUCCUGGGCCGCACGCGCGCUACACUGAUGCAUGCAACGAGUUUAUAACCUUGGCCUGAAAGGUCUGGGUAAUCUUUUGAACGUGCAUCGUGAUAGGGAUAGAUUAUUGCAAUUGUUAAUCUUGAACGAGGAAUUCCUAGUAAACGCGAGUCAUCAGCUCGCAUUGAUUACGUCCCUGCCCUUUGUACACACCGCCCGUCGCACCUACCGAUUGAAUGGUUCGGUGAAGAUCUCGGACUUCGAUAUUUAUUCUUUAUUGAGUUUAUAUUGUGGGAAGUUAUCUAAACCUCAUCAUUUAGAGGACGGUGAAGUCGUAACA